UUUCCGUAGGUGAACCUGCGGAAGGAUCAUUAAAAAUGAAGCCGGGAAACCGGUCCUUCUAACCCUUGAUUAUCUUAAUUUGUUGCUGUGGUGGGCCGCGCAAGCACCGGCUUCGGCUGGAUCGUGCCCGCCAGAGGACACAACUCUGUAUCAAAUGUCGUCUGAGUACUAUAAAAUAGUUAAAACUUUCAACAACGGAUCUCUUGGUUCUG
rnacentral:misc_RNA from 1 species